rnacentral:rRNA from 1 species
UACGUAGGGGGCGAGCGUUGUCCGGAUUUAUUGGGCGUAAAGAGCUCGUAGGCGGUUUGUCGCGUCUGCUGUGAAAACUCGGGGCUUAACUCCGGGCCUGCAGUGGGUACGGGCAGACUAGAGUGCGGUAGGGGAGAUUGGAAUUCCUGGUGUAGCGGUGAAAUGCGCAGAUAUCAGGAAGAACACCCGUGGCUAAGGCGGCUCUCUAGUACGGUACUGACGCUGAGACGCGAAAGCGUGGGGAGCGAACAGG